ACUUUAACUGACUGCAAAAUGGCAGAUGUAAACUUUUGGCGUUAAUUUGACGCCAUAUAAUCUCGUUAAAAAAUGAUUGAAAGUUGGACUUUUAUUCAAAACAUGAACAGAUGACCAAUACUGAACAGCACAGCUUUAUUGAGGCUUUUAUAACUAAAGGAAAAAAGGAAACUUUUAUGCUAAAGUUGCUGAGAUUUUUGUCCAGAAGGAGAGACGAAGGGACUUAAUUUACAGGGUAACUGCUCUUUACCAUCACUUCACAGUCUAACUCAUCAUCUUCCUCCACAUCUCUAUUCUUCGUUAAAAUCGAUCCAGGACACUUCUCUUCUGUUCCUCACACAUCCUCUCACCCUCCAAGAUCUGCUAAACUUCCAUUCCUGUACAGACUUGCCAUCCACGGCCAUUGGCCAUCAGUCGUCACUGAACUUACAGCAAGAAUUCUGGAGUUUUGUGCCCCAGCCGGUGACCCAGGUGUUGAUGCUGCUGUAGAAGGUGCUGCCCGUGGAAGCCAGACAGACGGGAGAAAUGUAGUCGGUGAAGGUUACUGGUAAGGAGAGCUGCAGGAGGGCGAUGUCGUUGUCUGUCGUAUCUGAGUUGUAGUUUGGAUGAACAAUUGAUUUUGCUACUGUUCUAGUAGCACUAUUGGGGUUGGAUCCUUGCAGACUCUGAAGACCCAGCAACACCUUCGCAUCAGACAAGCCACCACUGAGAAAGACAACAGAAAUGUUCGAACUGUCAGAAGUUUAAUUACUGGCAAAACUAGUAGGGAACCAAAUACAUUUUAAAUGAAUGAGCUUUAAGGUAAUCAGAUCUUUUGUUUUUUAUAUUAGGCUUAUUUUCUCACGACUAUUUUCAUCUCGGUUCUUAAAAAACCAAAGACCUCAUUCACUGGAUUUAUUAGCUGCAUUGCUCACCUUGGAACACAGUGAGCCGCCGUCAGCACCCACUGGUUGUUGAUGAGCGAUCCUCCACAGAAGUGUCCAGAUGUCUGCAGACUGACCUGCCAGGGCCAGGACCCUUCAGGAGCAUCCUGUCCUCCAACAAUCCUGGUGUUCCGCUUCGGCUGACCACAGACUGCAAAGAAAAUCUACUGGUUUAGUUUCUGUGGACCCAGAAACUACUGGAAAUCCUGAAUUCCUCAAGAAUGUUCUCUCCUAAAUUGAUGUUUUUGUUGUUAAUCUCUUUCUUUUUUAUGCACUUGAAGGUUUCUUUCAGGAAAAGGAACAGAAAACGUUUCCGUCCAUAAUUUGCUCUCAUUCAGGGUUCAUGGCUUUCAUGAAUCAGACACAAAUUUUAUAAGAUGUUCAUUCUCUUCCAUCGUUUUCUUUUACUGAGACAUGUACAGAUCUUGUUUUAAAUUUCACUUUUUUUUUCUAUUUUGGUAAAAAAUAAAUGUAUUUUGUUCCAACAAAAUUGAACAUAUUAAGGAGCAUCUUCAGAAAAUGACAACUCCAUGUCACAUGUGCAAUGCUUUGUAAAAUAUAUUACAGUAAAACCAGCUUUCUCUACUUUACUAGAAUAUCCCACUUGAGUUAACAAGAUAAAAUAAUAAAUAGCAACUAUUACAUUUGAAACCAGUUUAAAUUUUAUUUAUUCAAAUAUUAAUUGUAUUCAAAAAUAAUAUGAAUAAACUGGAUUAACCCUGUGAUGCAUACUGUUGCAAACGGCUUUUGCUUCUUUAAAAAUGAAAACGUGACUUUUGAAUGUUUUCUUAACAUACAAAAAUGUUUACUUACCAUCUAGCUGCGAGAGACACACUGAAAACAGAAAACAAAUGGUUUAACAAUAAGUCAAUUGAAACCGUUAAAUAUUUAUUAACUUUAGGGCACAGUGGAAACAGAGGAAUUAACGUCAAAAGCUUAGAAAUAUGUUCUUAGGUUCUCCAGGGUUAAGUUCUCUGUAAACAAAACAGAAACUGACACUAAAAUUUAUUGUUUUGUUUGUUUGUUUUCAUCCUGGGUAGCAGUGAAAAAAUGUGACCAAAAAUGUAAAAUAA